rnacentral:rRNA from 1 species
UACGUAGGGGGCAAGCGUUGUCCGGAAUCAUUGGGCGUAAAGAGCGUGUAGGCGGCCAAGCAGGUCCGCUGUGAAAACUCGAGGCUCAACCUCGAGAUGUCGGUGGAAACCGUUUGGCUAGAGUCCGGAAGAGGAGAGUGGAAUUCCCGGUGUAGCGGUGAAAUGCGCAGAUAUCGGGAGGAACACCUAUGGCGAAGGCAGCUCGCUGGGACGUUACUGACGCUGAGACGCGAAAGCGUGGGGAGCAAACAGGAUUAGAUA